GCCCAUUUCAAUUGUGCCUCUCCUUAACCCGGGUGGAAGUGGCCUUUCUCCGCCCCAGAGCCAGUCUCCCUGAGGUGCGCCCUGUCCGGCCCUUGGGAGCAGCCUAUGAAAAAUCCUGUGUUUGUAACCGCUAAGGGCCAGGUCCUCAGCUCCACUGAUUUCAGCUAACACCCGCUGAGGAUCUGGCCGCGCAAGUGUUUCUGCUGUCGUAAGCGUCCUCGCCAACCAGGGCCUUUGUCUGCACGACACCAAGCGCACCAGGCCUGCCCCAUCGCCAUCGCUGAGGAAGAGGACAAAGAGAAAGGCUGAAGUAGCCUCACAAUCUGCAGUGGCAGGAAGGAGGGCACUGGACCGAGAAUCAGGCCACCUGGAGUCUGUUUCUGGCUCUGCCACUGGCCUGCUGCGUGACCUUGGCCAUGUCCCUUCUCCUCUGUGCGACGGAGGGAAUGGUCCCCACCCACCUUUGCAGAGUGCUGGGAGAGCUGCAGGUGGAAAAUGGGAGCCUCACACCAAAGCUCCGGUAAAGGCCACCGUGUCGGCCUCAGCACAGUGGCAGGCUGGCUUCGUGGUGCCUUCACCUACAAGUCGGAGCAUCAGAGCGGAGGUGAGCAGCAGGACUGACCUGGGAAGGUGCGUGCGACCGGGAUGGCGAGGGCUCCUGUAUGAGGCGCUAGGUGACAUCCAGGCCGGGAACAGCAAAUGGAAACGUGGCAAGAUAAACCACUGCAGGAUCGUGGGACGCAUUGGAGGGCCACUGACAGACAUAAACGGACUAGCCAGGCAGGCCACCCUCAGGACCUGGCUUGAGACUGAGCCAGGUGGUGGCUCACCUACCUGGAGGCUGCAGCCCUUUGGGAUUUGCUGUGAUGAUGAUGCCGGAGGACCGGCGGCCCAUGCCUGUGGUGUCCUGGCACCGAUCCGCACCCUAGCACACGGGAGCAGCACUCCGGAUAAACUCACUCAAGCUCUGCCCUACGCCCCGACUCUAGUGACGCGAACAGGGGGGAGGUUUAGGGUUUGGACGGGGGUGGGAAGUGAUUGAACAGGAGCAAUUCUAAGGGAAACAAGCCCCCAACAAGAGCUAGGCUAGGGGAAGUGCCCUGCCCCAAUGGCUCUGCAGCCUGCUCCAGCUGAGGCACAGCCCAGGGCAG
rnacentral:lncRNA from 1 species